GCUGUCUGCUGCCUUGGGUGCUUUCCUUCCUUGUCUGUGCCUCCUGUGCAGGAGCAUGAUGGACUUCUCCAUUUGCAGAGGAUGGUUUGCAUUGUGACUCUGAAAACUGCCAACGGAAUCAGCAGUCAGACUGUAGUUGGUCACAGCAGGAGCCCCAGCUCCUGGUAAAGCCCACUGUUGUGCUUGAUAUGGGGAACACAUGCACUCAUUGAGCUGCAGUUCUGCCACUCACUACAAAAGGGCAGCAGAUCCACCUCUGUCUCUGCCACGCAUAUCCCAACAGCAGUUGUUCACUGAAGCCACACUGUACAGAGGUUGGAGAGGUGCCAUAUCUCCAUCCAUCUUGCCCACAUGCAAAAGGCACUGGAAGACGGAAGCCUCUAUCUUAUGGAUAAAAAUACAGAUCUGGCCUCCAGGCAUUUCUACAAGUGUAUUCACUCUCUUGGAGUGCCUCUUCUAUAUGUGCUGCUGACUUGGAGCUUGCAUUCCUGCUCAGCGUGGCUCUGUGUUUUUCAAAGGCAGUGGAAAUUUUGUUUUGGAAACACCGCCGAGAACGCAAACAGGAAGCAGGAAGGACUUCUUCAGAAAUGGAAGAACCUGACGGGAGUACAGCUUCCAUUUUUUUGGAUCCAGCCCAUGAGUUGGGUUUGCAACAACAGCAAGAUAUGAGUGGUGAGGUCAAGAGAAAAGCAAACAUGUAGCAGCCACAGAGAGUGACUUUGAAAAUUGCCUGUUGGAACUCUGAGUCACUUAAUGUGCUACACACAGCCAGGAUGCCUAGAAAAAUAAAGAGAGAUGCUGAACAGUCCCUGCAGUGCAGCUGUGUUAUUGACAGAUGGGAUUAAGUGGUAGGAGUGCUCAAAGUGGGAUAUUUUUUUAAUAAGUGUGUUGCCUUUGUUUAUUGUAAUUUUGAUUUUUAGUUAUUUCUGUUAAGGCAUUUGGG
rnacentral:lncRNA from 1 species